rnacentral:rRNA from 1 species
CCUACGGGAGGCAGCAGUGAGGAAUAUUGGUCAAUGGGCGGAAGCCUGAACCAGCCAAGUAGCGUGCAGGAUGACGGCCCUACGGGUUGUAAACUGCUUUUAUACGGGAAUAACGCGCCUUACGUGUAGGCCUUUGCAUGUACCUUAUGAAUAAGGCCCGGCUAAUUCCGUGCCAGCAGCCGCGGUACUACGGAAGGUCCGGGCGUUAGCCGGUUUUAUUGGGUUUAAAGGGAGCGUAGGCCGCAUGUCAAGCGUGCUGUGAAAUGUCCGGGCUCAACCCGGGCCUUGCAGCGCGAACUGGCGUGCUUGAGUCCGCGGAAAGCAGGCGGAAUUCGUCGUGUAGCGGUGAAAUGCUUAGAUAUGACGAAGAACCCCGAUUGCGAAGGCAGCUUGCUGCAGCGGAACUGACGCUGAUGCUCGAAAGCGCGGGUAUCGAACAGGAUUAGAUACCCCUGUAGUC